AAAUUAGAUGAGUCCAAGUCCUAAUGAAUUAGGAUUAAAUUUUCAUUACAAUCAAGCUUGAUCAAAUCAAACCUAAUCUAAGUCAAACCGAAUUCAAUUCAAUUAAACUUGAUCCAAAACUCUUUACUCAAUCAAAUUAAAAUAAUUAAUAAUCUAAUUACUAAUUAAUUCUCUAAUAAUAAUAGAGUUUCAAUCCAGUGGGACUCUCCUCUAGAGUUUAAAUCUCAAUGAGACUCCUCACCAGAGUCACAAUUCAAUUGGACUCUUCAGCCAUC
rnacentral:lncRNA from 1 species